AUGUCUUUUCAUUGGUUUUAUUUUGCAUGGCUAUUUCUCAUAAUUUGUUUGAGAGUAGAGCUAUCAAAUGCUCAAAUUCAUAAAAGAGAUGGAAAUAGGUUAUAUCCUUAUAAAACAAUAGUUGUUGAUCCAAAGAGGAGAGAAUGUUUCUCUACUAUACAAUCUGCCAUUGAUUCUAUACCUUCAAACAAUAGGUAUUGGACUUCGAUUAAUAUCAAAGCAGGUUACUACAGGGAGAAGUUGACGAUUCCAUAUGAUAAGCCUUAUAUCAUUAUUAGAGGAGAGGGAAUGAGCAAUACUUUGGUUGAAUGGGAUGACCAUGCAACCACUGUGCAGAGCCCUACGUUUUUUAUCAUGGCUGACAAUGUUGUUGUCAAGUAUAUCACUUUUAGG